UGGGGAAUAUUGCACAAUGGGCGCAAGCCUGAUGCAGCCAUGCCGCGUGUGUGAAGAAGGCCUUCGGUUGUAAAGCACUUUCAGCGAGGAGGAAGGUGGUGAACUUAAUACGUUCAUCAAUUGACGUUACUCGCAGAAGAAGCACCGGCUAACUCCGUGCCAGCAGCCGCGGUAAUACGGAGGGUGCAAGCGUUAAUCGGAAUUACUGGGCGUAAAGCGCACGCAGGCGGUUUGUUAAGUCAGAUGUGAAAUCCCCCGGGCUCAACCUGGGAACUGCAUUUGAAACUGGCAAGCUAGAGUCUCGUAGAGGGGGGCUAGAAUUCCAGGUGUAGCGGUGAAAUGCGUAGAGAUCUGGAGGAAUACCGGUGGCGAAGGCGGCCCCCUGGACGAAGACUGACGCUCAGGUGCGAAA
rnacentral:rRNA from 1 species